CCUACGGGUGGCUGCAGUGGGGAAUAUUGGACAAUGGGGGCAACCCUGAUCCAGCCAUGCCGCGUGUGUGAAGAAGGCCCUCGGGUUGUAAAGCACUUUCAGUGAGGAAGAACGCCUGGUGGUUAAUACCCAUCAGGAAAGACAUCACUCACAGAAGAAGCACCGGCUAACUCCGUGCCAGCAGCCGCGGUAAUACGGAGGGUGCGAGCGUUAAUCGGAAUUACUGGGCGUAAAGCGCGCGUAGGUGGCUUGAUAAGCCGGUUGUGAAAGCCCCGGGCUCAACCUGGGAACGGCAUCCGGAACUGUCAAGCUAGAGUGCAGGAGAGGAAGGUAGAAUUCCCGGUGUAGCGGUGAAAUGCGUAGAGAUCGGGAGGAAUAGCAGUGGCGAAGGCGGCCUUCUGGACUGACACUGACACUGAGGUGCGAAAGCGUGGGUAGCAAACAGGAUUAGAUACCCUGGUAGUC
rnacentral:rRNA from 1 species